AGAGAAAGCGACAAUGGGAACAGAAUGACUUGCAUAAUGAGAGGCCCAAAAUACUUUUAACAGCAACCUUCUUUAUCUUAAACAUGAAGAAAAUCUAUUAUAGGUGAGAUAUUUGAAACGAUGACUAAAACAAACGGCAAAAAAACUUGAACUAGAUGUACAGGGAUAUCGAACCAAGAUCGAAACUUGAAUGAUGGCGACAAACUCGACUUGAUCGGACAGAAUACUGCUGCAAACAAACUUGACAAGGCCUGUUUUAUGACAAGUUUUGAAGGACGCAUGUUGAUGGUCCCUACUUUUCGUUUUUGAGAUGAGGGAGCUUGGUGGCUAUGGAGGAAUUCUGGCGAGCUGGAUUGAGUCGUGAGGUCUGGUGGCUUGGGAUACUGCUGCUCUAGCUGUUGAUGGAGAGAGGCCACUGGUUGGGUUCUUGAAAUGUGUGGGACGGCGGUGAGGUGAGGGGUGUUCUGUAUGGCUGGGCGAUGGAGGUGGGUGGGGUGCUGGAGAUUGUGAGCAGCUGGCGGAGAUGGGGUGGGGCUGCUUAGGGUAUGUGUGUUGGGAGCUGGUGUGAGGUCGGCAGUAGGAAGGUGUUCCUAAGGUUUUUUGGUCUAAGUUUUUGAGAGGAAGAUGAAGUUUAGGUGUGUGUCCUCUCUAGGGUGGUAUAGUUUAUUGGUGUCCCAAGUCACCGGUUUAAAAUCCCGAAUCGAGGAAGUUUGACUCUAUUUACGGUCUGCGAACAUAUAAAUCCGGGUAAGGAAUUCUGUUAACCCAGGAGAAGGUGUUAGGCAUUCCCGAGUUCCGUGAUUUUAGCACAGUCACUUUGAUAAUACUUGACUUAAUCAAAUUGUCUAAUUACUUAUUUUAGAACCUAUGUUAAUCCACCCCUUAACCACUUUUAAUUACUUGAUUUAAUCGUAAUUAAGGAAUUAUCUUGAAACGAGUCAUGCAUAUGUGUACUUAUUUCGUUUGGCGCGUCAAAAAUCAUGUCACGCGUAUGUAUCCACAAUUAAUGACGCUUUAUUAUUAUUAAGAAAGUUUAGUUAAAAUUGCGCGAACACAUACUCCGAUUUUGUUUUUAAGAUCGUAAUUAUGUCACACGAACAUGUACACAACCACGAUAGUAUAAUUAGUUAAGAGCAAGCCUAAAACACUCUAACGUAUUCAAACGUGUUACACCCAAUUAGAAUCACAGCCCACUUAAUGGAAUAUUUUUAUCUUCUGCAUCCAUACAAAUUGAAUAAAUUAUACAAGAAAGAACAAAAUUUAACACUUAUUGAGCACAAAUGCUAUUUUAUGAAAUCUGAGAAUUAUGUUCCCCACCUUAUUCAUGAAACAGAGCCAAUUUCAAUCACAAAAACUAAAAGUAAUAGGCAAUCGAGCAACGAUCUCACAUAACAUCGAGAAAAACAAAUCGGGGAAUUGAAAUGCAAACAGAGUUAGAGAGAGACCUCAAUGAGUAGAUUUCUUUAAAUAUUUGAGCAUCCAAAUAGAUAUAAGGCUUUUAAUCCAAGUUAAACUCAGUCGAGAAAAUAGCAUCCACUCAAACCCGGAACCACGAACUCAAACGAACCCCCAUGAUUUAGAAAAGUGAAUUCGACAACUUUGAAAUUGUAGAGAGAGAAAACGACAACGGGAACAGAAUGACUUGCAUAAUGAGAGGCCCAAAAUACUUUUAACAGCAACCUUCUUUAUCUUAAACAUGAAGAAAAUCCAUUAUAGGUGAGAUCUUUGAAACGUCGACUAAAACAAAUGGCCAGAAAACUUGAACUAGAUGUACGGGGAUAUCGAACCAAGACCGAAACUUGAAUGAUGGCGACGAAUUUGACUUGAUCCUGACAGAAUACUACCGCAAACGAACUUGAAAAGUCUUGUUUUAUGACUGGUUUUGAAGGACGCCUGUUGAUGGUCACUACUUUUCGUUUUUGAGAGGAGGGAGCUUGGUGACUAUGGAGGAAUUCCGACGAGCUGGGUUGAGUCGUGAGGUCCGGUGGCUUGGGAUACUGCUGCUCUAGCAGCUGGUGGAGAGAGGCCACUGUUUGGGUUCUUGAAAGGGGUGGGACGGCGGUGAGGUGAGGGGUGUUCUGUGUGGCUGGGCGAUGGAGGUGGGUGGGGUGCUGGCGAUUGUGAGCAGCUGGCGGAGAUGGGGCGGGGCUGCUUAGGGUAAGUGUGUUGGGAGCUGGUGUGAGGUCGGCGACAGGAAGGUGUUUCUAGGGUUUUUUGGUCUAAGUUUUUGAGAGAAAGAUGAAGUUUAGGUGUGUGUCCUCUCUAGGGUUAGCAUGCUGAAGGGGUGUGUAGUCCCAGAUUGUGAGAAAUACGGCUGAUUUCUGGUGGCGUGAUCUUAGGCGUUAGGUCUAGUCUAGGGGUCUAUUAGGUUCCUUAUUGUAGUGUGUAUUAAAGGUGAGGAAGUAGGGUUUUUUAGGGUAUUGGG
rnacentral:lncRNA from 1 species